AGGACUUAUAGGUCAUUGACCCAUUGAUCGGAAGUAUCCAAAGGUUUAACUCUUGUGAUGCCAAGGAACCAUAGGUCGUAGCUUCAUUGAUAGAGAGUACUUGGAGGUUUAGCUCCCCUAGUCCAGGAAGAUCCUCGAACUUGAUGUGAGCCGCUUUGGCCACUAUGGAUAGGAUUGAAUACGAUCUAAGAGCAAGAUCUGUCAUAUCA
rnacentral:lncRNA from 1 species